rnacentral:rRNA from 1 species
GUCCUGGCCCUAAACGAUGAAUGCUUGGUGUGGCGGGUAUCGAUCCCUGCCGUGCCGAAGCUAACGCAUUAAGCAUUCCGCCUGGGGAGUAUUGUCGCAAGGCUGAAACUCAAAGGAAUUGACGGGGGCCCCGCACAAGCGGUGGAGCAUGUGGUUCAAUUCGACGCAACGCGAAGAACCUUACCCAGGCUUGAACAGCGAGUGACCACUCCCGAAAGGGAGCUUCCGCAAGGACACUCGUAGAGGUGCUGCAUGGCUGUCGU